UCCCAAGAUGUAGUAGAUGGAAUC
rnacentral:piRNA from 1 species